GAUGAAGAACGUAGCGAAAUGCGAUACUUGGUGUGAAUUGCAGAAUCCCGUGAACCAUCGAGUCUUUGAACGCAAGUUGCGCCUCAAGCCAUUAGGUUGAGGGCACGUCUGCCUGGGCGUCACAUAUCGUUGCCUGAUGCCAGUUUCCUCGUGAUGGGUGACUGUGCAGGGCGAAUGAUGGCUUCCCGUGAGCAUUGUUGCCUCAUGGUUGGUUGAAAAUUGAGUCCUUGGUAGGGAGCGCCGUGAUAGAUGGUGGUUGAGUGACGAACGAGACCCAAUCAUGUGAGACCCCUACCGAAUUUGGCCUCAUGACCCACAUGCGUCUUUGGAACGCUCAUGACGAGACCUCAGGUCAGGCGGGGCUACCCGCUGAGUUUAAGCAUAUCAAUAAGCGGAGGA
rnacentral:misc_RNA from 1 species